CAUCGCGGGCCGGGCCGGGCCGAGCUGGGGGCUGUGUCGUAGCCGCCGCCGGAGCUCGGGCCGCUCUGUCUGGACGUCUCCCCUCGGAGCCGCGGGUGGGGUCCGGCCCCUCCCCCCCCCCUUGGGCGGACACGGCAGGGUACGGUCAAGUUGUAUUUAGAGUAGUUGGAGAGUCGUCGCUCUACAUGUUUGUACAUCAGAACGGAAGAGGGCCUGAAAAGCAGUUGAGAGAUUUGGAAAAAUUCAUCCCCGGACUCGUUUACACAAGCCCGGGGACGAGAUGUUUGCUGGGACGCAGCUAUUUGACUUGGGAUAUUGAAAGGAAGAGGAGGCAGCAAUCAGAACUAAGUUCUUCGGCUUAAGACGGUCUUCCCCGGGACAUUCAUUUGUCAUGAGGGGAAACCCAGAGGAUGCACUUCCAUCGUUGGAUUCGGGAUUUCGGUUGCUAAAUUAUGUGGUGGGCUCUGGGAAUUUCAGUAACUCUGGAAUUUUAACUUCUUAUCCGUCAUUGAAAUCGGAGCUGAACGGCAGUCACACAGCCAGAAAAGUGAACCGUGCCCUGUGAGGAAAGGUAUUCAAAUUUUGAGAGAAAAGGGACGACUGAUAGAGCGACGGUCUCAAUUAGCCGUAUUCGGGUGAGAUGCAGGAGUGUGAGCGAAAUCCCCAUGUUUGUUCAAGUGGUAUUCAGGAUGAUGUCAUCAACACAUGAAUGCUGUGAUGCGUGGACCUGCAUAUAUUCACAAUGAAAACCCUGUUCUACAUCUUAUGAAUCGACGUAGUCACUUUAACAAGUAACAAUUGAUUCGCAGUUAUUAAACGUUUAUUAAAUGACCCAUAGAAAUGUAGAACCAAUGGGAGCCGCAGACGCCACAACCUGAGCCCGAUGGACCUCUCCUAAAUGACUCCGUUAUCAUUUGCUCUUCUCCCCAUUUCUGAAGGGCUACUCGAGGUGGGACGUGGCGAGAGAGGGGAAAGAGAAUGGCUCUCUGAAGUAAGAUUAUAGUGCAGGGCCUAGACCCUCCAUCCGGGAAGAUUCAUUCCCGUUACGAAUCCAAGACGAAUGAAGGGAUAAAGGUAAUUGAAACUAAACAGAUUUCACGUUCAGCAGUCACCGAGUUCGAACACUUCUGUGGCCCUCAAAGAUGUCCAGAAUGGUAAUUUCCACUGCAGCGUGUUAGUUGGAUGAAAGACUUCCUUCAAUUGUUCUCGAUUGUCUCUAGAACAGGGCCCGACCAUCAGGCGGUGUCUUAAGUUGUUUUGCACUGGAGAGCAUGACCCCGCUCACAUGUCCCUUUGCCUGCUGCUUUUUUUAGUCAAGUUGCCCAAGCCGGGAACGUGCGUGCCUGAGUUGAUGAGAUCCACAAUCUGUAUCCCUAACUCUGAGCAAAACACCCUUUAGCCUCCUACGCUGGUGCUUCCUCUCUGGCUUCUGCCUUUGUGGCUCUCACAGCUACGGGUGUUGGUAGUAGUAGCAGUAAUAUUUCCUCAGUGCCUGCUGUGGGCAAAGCGCUGGGUUGGGAAGAAAUCCCGGGUGAGAAACUCAGUCCCUGGCUCACAGUCUCAAAAUAAUUAUAAUUGUGGUAUUUGUGAAGCGCUUACUCCGGGCCAA